GGAAUCAACGCUGGCGGCGUGCCUCAGACAUGCAAGUCGAACGCGAAAGUUCCCUUCGGGGAGCGAGUAGAGUGGCGCACGGGUGAGUAACACGUAGGUAAUUUGCCUUCGGGUGGGGAAUAACUCAGGGAAACUUGAGCUAAUACCGCAUAAUGCAGCGGCUCGACAUCGAGGCAGUUGUAAAGCGGGGGAUCGUCGCAAGAGACCGUCGCGCCGUGAACGAGAAGCCUGCGGACAGAUUAGCUAGUGGUAGGUAUGGACCUACCGAGGCAACGAUCUACGUAACCGGCCUGGAGAGGGCGUCGUCACGAC
rnacentral:rRNA from 1 species